UGGGGAAUAUUGCACAAUGGGCGCAAGCCUGAUGCAGCGACGCCGCGUGAGGGAUGACGGCCUUCGGGUUGUAACCUCUUUCAGCAGGGAAGAAGCGUGAGUGACGGUACCUGCAGAAGAAGCACCGGCUAACUACGUG
rnacentral:rRNA from 1 species